UGGAAUCUUAGAAGCUGGGAAUUCUAGAACCAGAGAACAGGGUCCCAGAAGGAAGGGCCCUCAGGGAUCACACCUCUCCUUCGUUUGAGAGGAAACUGAGGACCGGAAAGGGGUGUGGCCCACUUGGGGGGGGGUCACUCAGGCAGCAAGGAAAUCACUGGUAACAUAAGGGGGCUGCUUGGGUUCAGUACAAACCAGCGUGGUCCCAACAGGUGUCAGCCGGACCCCUCCACAUCCUCUUUCUCUCUGGCGAGGGGAGUGGGCUCUUCACUGUGUGGAGAAAUGUCAGUCUUCCCCAUCGUUUGUCUUCCAUCUCACAUCCUGGAGUGGGACAAGUCCGUGCCCCUCACUGGGCCUCUCUCCUCUCCUUCUGGGCUGCAGAUUAUGAUGCCAGGACAGCCCCUGACUCAGAAAUCAGCCAAGGAACUGCGGAAACACAGAGGCAGAAAGUGGGUCCCCCUCCACACAGGACUCCCAGCAGGAAGAUAGCUUGACCCCCAAGUCCCAUAGAAGAGGUGGGAGGUGUCCUGGUGUCCUGGCUCAGAUUGUUGGAGUCCCCAGGGUUGAAGAAGCCACCAGGGUCCUCUAGGACAGAUCCCAGAACGAAUCACCCUACAGUGGGUUAGCUAGUCUGUGCACCGACAACAGGACGCUCGCUCCCUCUGGUGGCCACCUGCUCCAGUACAGUCACAAACCUUGUGACCAUCUCCUUUGUCUGGGCUGCCUCUGGGCCCUAUGGCUUCCACCCAUCAGGCCUGGUUCUGCUUCCUGGAUCCACACAAGAAAAGUCUGAGCCCUUUUACCCAACAGCCCUUCAGACACUUAAGAUGACCCCACCCUCGGUAUUUAUUUUGAAAUUUUUCAUGUACUCUGUCAGUAAAGAAUUCUGUUACACACAGUGAUGUACCUCUCCAGCCCUCUUGCAUCUCCUUCCUUCUCUCCAGAGGGAACCACUAUCCUUUCCUUUAUCUUUAUCACUAUUUUGCCUUCAAAAAUAUUUUUACUACAUAUGCAGGUAUCUUCAAAUAACAUAUUGUUUUGCAG
rnacentral:lncRNA from 1 species